GACCCCUAGCCUGGGAACUUCCACAUGCCGCAGGUUCGGUCCUAAAAAUACAAGAAAAAAAAAGAAGAAAGGAAAGAGUGACCCAUGCUGCAAUUAACUCAUUCCAUCAAACAAUCACAAUGUACUCAAAAAUAAGUCAUAAAGUGAGAGAAAUCUGCAUAAUCCCUUAAUUCUUUUAGUGCAUUUUUGUCUUUAAUCUUGUGUUUUCAAGCAAAUGAUGAAAAAAACCCUAAAAUCCUUUGUUCCAACUGACUUCCAAGAUUUAAAAGUUAUUCUCAUGUGUAGGUUUUGCCUUAGGAUGCUCUCCUUCACAAGCUCACACUGUCUUUUAGUGAAAGGGUAGCCUCUCAUACCUAGCCUCCAAGUUCAGGGCAGGCCAGCGGGGCCAGUCUCUGCAGGGCAGGCAAUUUAAAGACAGUGACUGAUUCCUGUUCAACACAGGUAGUUUCUGCUUAAGAAUGAUUUCUAGGUACUACAGAAAAGUCUUACUUCUGUGGAAUAAAAUUCACAAACCCUAAAUUUCUGAAAAUAUAACCCUUAACAUUUGCUUCAAUUAUUUUUUCUUUCCUCCUGAAAGAUACAGCAUAAAUUAGGACAUAGAUGAUCAGAUCAAGGAGCAGCCCUUAAUCUGUAAAUAAUCUCUCUGGCUUCUUGGCAAUCAGGAAAACAGUGGGAAACAGCCGGUUUAAGAUGAACGUGACAACCUAUUAGCAUUCAGAGAGAAAUGAUUUCUCUCAUCACCUUUACUGGGAGAUGCUGUUGCUGUGGCAACUGGCCCCUGCAUUCAUCCCAUAUCCAAUUGCUGAGAUGACAAGGAAGUUGGUCAGGCUAAGAGAAGAUCAUUCACACUACCCCUUUUAAGUGACAACCAACAAGAUCUGUAAGGGAUUUCCUUAUACAAUCCCAACACUUUUUACUGUGGUGAAAUUAAUGCUUGAGUAGGCUUCCCUUACUUGGGUCUUUGGCUAAAACUGAAGAGUUCUUUAAUUGAAUUGGUUAACAUUUAACUUCAUGAACUAUGAUAGGCCUCAGGGACAAUAUUUUAAAGGUUCUUUAUUGGAGAUGUUGCUACAUAAAGGUAUGUGGGGGGACUCAAUAUGUUGCUACGGAGUACAAAAUGCUCUGGGCAGAGAUAUUCUGCAAAUGGACUUAACAGGUGUUGAAGCACAGCUGUCUCCUCACACCAUGCAGACUUCAAGUGGAGGCUGAAAUGCAGACCAGACUGUGUUUUACACUUUACUCCUCUGUCAGAAACUUGCCUGCACACUCAACAAGCCCUGGACUCUUCAUGUCAAUGGCAAAUGAGGAUGUCUCUGCACUCGGUAGUGACUGGCUUGCUACAGGAUCCCUCAUAGACUUGCAUUUCUCCAUUUGUCUGCAAACACACAUGCUUCUCAGAGAGGAACAAAGUAGUGCAACUGACAUCAUUUCAUUUUAUUUCCUGAAGGAAACACAAAGGAACUGGCUCCUCCUGGGCAACCAUGUCAGAUGGUUUUGGAGCACUUCCAUGUCAUGAUGCCCUUCAUUACACCUGUUGUCAAAACACAAGACCUACAUUUCCCAUCCUGCUUAAAUAAUAAAUGUACACCUUGUAAAAGUUUCAUGCUUACAGAGAAUGAAAAGGAGGGUGUUCCUGUUGUGGCUCAGAGGGUGACGAACCUGACUAGUAUCCAAGAGGAUUCAGGUUCAAUCCCUGGCCUCUCUCAGUGGGUUAAAGGAUCCGGCAUUGCCAAGAGCUGUGGUAUAAUUUGCAGACGAGGCUCGGACCCCAUGUUACUGUGGCUGUGGUGUAGGCUGGCAGCUGCAGCUCCAAUCCAACCCCUAGCCUGGGAGCUUCCAUAUGCUGCUGGUGCAGCUGUAAAAAAGAAAAAAAAAAAGGAGUAUAUUUUCAAAAUUAUAUGGUCCUCAGGUGCACACUGACAGCUCUUCCAUUCCCAGGCAGUCACACCCAGUCCCACUCGCCACAAACAUGACAUUUCUGAGACCUCCAACCAAUGCCCUUGUCCAGUCUGUGCCCCAAACAAAAAUGUGCUAUUGCUUUUGCCCACUUGUGAAGGAAGCUCUCAAUGGCUACUUUGGAAACUUGGCAGACAGAAGAGACAGCAAGCAGCAGCACAAAUAGAUGCCUUUGGGCUGGUAGCCACCAGCUAGGGAGCCUCUACAUGUUAGUAGUCACUUAAUGGAUACAGAGCUCUCAUGGGACACACUGUGGCCCAUACAUAUAUAUAAAAAUUGUAAUAAAAUCAUUUUAAUUAUAGCUAAUAUUUGUGAGCACGGACAAAAUGUCACUUAAAUCACAAUUUGCAUGCAUUGUCAUCUUUGGUCUUCCCAGAUACUACACCAGCUAAGAAAAGACCAUUACUGUCAUCAUUCUGAGGCUUAGAGAAGUUCAGUAAUUUUUUCAAAAUCUUAAGAUAUAGAGGCAGAAAAAUCCUGAUCUUACUAAGGCCAAAGCCUAAUGUCACUCAAUGCAUCUAUUAUUUUACCUAAUCCAAUGCAUCUGUUAUUUUUCAGAUGCUCUUAAGCACAGUUGUAAAUUUCCCCUUCCUCCCUCCUUAGGUUAAGGUCACAGUCUUAAUCAUUUUUUUCUGUAAGACCAGGCACAGUGUUUGGCACAAGACUCAUGCUUGAGAAAUCGCUGCUGAUUAGAAAAACAGCUUUUGGUUGCAGAUUGAGAAAGGUUUUGCUGUGGUCACUUUGGGAGCCUUUGGAACAUGCUGCCUUAUGUACAUCUUUUGCCUGAGAUCUUGCCUCUUUUCCAGACUUGCAACACACUGGCAAGACUACUGGAUUUACAAAUUUGAGAAUUCCCUUUGUAACACUGAACUCUAUGAACACUGUGACACUGAAGAACCCACAUGCAUGUUGUCCAGUUAUUUAAACCAAUAUGGGCCACCCCUGGGCAGUUUUAGAAGAAUAAGAGGUUUUUUUUUUUUUUUUUUUUAAGACUAAAUAAAAUUAGAGUAUUUAAAAAGGAAAACUGUCUGAUGCAGAUGUAUAUGGCAAGGUUCCAACCCUUUGUAAGCAAGCCUUUGAGUGAUUUCUAUAGGCUUGCCUCGCCUCAUUUCAUAUUGUAGAGAGCAGACCAAGUUCCUGUGCAACGUCCCACUGAGGCAUACCUGUCCUGGGCUGUGGGGUUCCUCUCCCUGCUAAUGAUACACAAGCUGAGGUACCAAACUACAGCAGAGCAAGCAGUGCCAAGGCUAUUGAUCACCAAGUGCCUAGGACAGACCCUAUUGAUAUCAACUUUGGGGGUUUAUUCAGUUUUGAGAUUUAAAAUAUUAUAAGAUAAAAUUGUACUUGGCUCAUGUAGAAAAUUUGAAAAUACAGGUAAAUUAAAAGAAAAUUUGAAACACAUAAUUCUGCUCCAUAGGAUAGCAUUUAGUGUAUGACUUCCAAAAUUUGUCUAUUUUUAAAGAAAAAUGGAUUACACUAAACCUACUGUUUUUGUAAAUCUAACAUAUUGUGAACACCUUUAUAUGCCACAUAUUCACCUUUGCUAUUAUUUCAGUAGUUGUAUGGUCCAUCUUAUAUGAUUAAACCAUAAUUUAUUUAACCAAAUUCUCUGUUGUUAGAUCUUGAGUUGCUCAUAUAUAUACUUUAUUGAUCAUUUUUGAGUAUAAAUCUUUACAUAGUGGUUAUUUACUUAAGAUAAAUUCCUUAAAGUAGAAAUGCCAGAUCCCAGGGUAUAUAAGUUUUUAAGGUUUUUGAUACAUAUUUUCAAAAUGCCUUCCAGACAAUGUAAAUCAAUUUACCCUUUGCCACCAGGGAUUCUUUUCUUUUGUUAAUCAAAAUCUUAGGUAUCCCAGAGUCAAAUAUAAAUGUUCUUUGGUAGCCCACAUCACUGCUUUGCUCUGCUAACACUGGUAAUCACAAUUAGUAACAGUGAGUUCCUAUGAUAAGUAAAUUGAUGAAAUACUCUGCCAUUUUUCACAGUAAGUAGAUGUGAAACCCAUCAGACACUGGGCAUUACACUUUCCCCUGGGGGCUGCCCAAUCUGAGCACAGUCAUGGAGGUGGCUCCAAGAAGGGCCAGCCUCUGAUCAUUCAUCUUGGGACAGUGGAAUUUUAUGGGUCAAGGCAAGUUACAGUCAAAGGUACCAUUGUGUUUUCAGAGGUCCUGUGAGCCAAGUUUGUAGCAAGAGCCAGCCUACAUCCAUGGAAGAUUGUGGACUUUAGCAGAGACCUUCAGAGGCUAUUUCAGACUUUUGGAAGAACACGCCUUCCCUUAGCAUCUCAGAGGUCCUCUGAGCCAGAAGAAAUUGCCCAAGCUGGUGCCCCCAGAGCCCUGCAGGGCUGGAGCAGCCCCCUAAUUUCCCAUCAAGACCUUUGCUCAUCAGCAGACAUCAUUGGCUUUAUACUGGAUAGAGCUGAGCUGAUUCCACUGAUGGCAGUGUAAAGUAGAUAACAGAUUAGAAGAGUCUACAUGCAAACAUACGUUUCCUAAUAAUUAAACUUCAAACUCGAUUUUCAGGUGAAGAAAAACCUACCUAAUAUUUCUGUAGUGAAUUACAAAUUAUACAAAUUAUCCUCAUUCAUUCAUUUAUUCAUUCAUAAAAUAAUUAUUCCAUGCAAUAUAGGAUGUUAUUAAGAGUAUGGCCCCAGAGUCAGACUACCUGAGUUCAAAUCCCAGCUUCAGCUCUUGUUGUGUGAUCUUACACAAGUUACUUUUCCUUUUGUAUCUCAGUUUUCUCGUGUAUAAAAUGGAGGUAAUACAUUACAGGAUUUCUGUGAUGACUAAGUGAUAUAUUUAAUUUACCUGCUUAGAACUUUUGUAUAUAAAAUAAUAUCUAGAACCUAAAGGCUUAAUGAAUGCCAGCUCUUAUUCUUACUUCUACGUACCCAGGCACCAGCUGGAAACUAGAGACAUGGAUGCGCAUACCAUGGCCUCCAAAGGCUUCCUAAUUGAUAGAGAAAACAAACCAUUAGGGCCGCAUGUGGAGUGUGAUGCCAUAGAUGUGAAGAGGUUUCCAGGGCAUCAUGAAGAAAGAGGGGUUCACUCUG
rnacentral:lncRNA from 1 species